AUGGAACUUCUGGAUGAGGAAUUGGAUGCAGUGGUGAUUAGCAAGGCUGAAGCGAAGAGAUUUGAGGCGGGGGCAGGAUGGAUGGCAAUUGCUAGGGUUAACACGGACAGGCCGUUUAGCUCAACAGCUUUUUUUGACAACGUGAAGUUCAUUUGGGGUCUGGCCCAAACACCCAAGUUCAGGGAAGCUGGUGAGAACUUGUUUAUCUUCCAGUUGUUUUGUCUUGGAGAUUGGAGGAAAGUCGUGCAUGGGGGACCCUGGCUGUUCAGGGGUCUAGGGGUGAUCAUCGAAGAUUAUGAUGGCAAGACCGAUCCUGAAAAGGUCACACUAGACGGUCUGUAUGUGUGGGCUCAAAUUCAUAAGGUCCCUGACAUUUAUCGACAGGAGCCAGCAGUAGAUCAACUUGCUCGUAGAAUAGGCAAAGUCAGAGAGGUUCAGCUCCGUCCUAACCUCUACUAUGAGGGCGACUACGUCCGGGUGAGGGCAAAGGUUUUGACUGCGGAACCUCUUACUCGCUUUACUCCGCUGACGAUCGAGGGAGAGGGCACACGUAUGCUGGUGGUGAAGUAUGAAAAAAAUCCCUUUCUUCUAUCAGAUUUGUGGGUACAUGGGACAUAG
rnacentral:rRNA from 1 species